rnacentral:lncRNA from 1 species
UUUAACAACAAAAUAACAGAAAUUGGCAUUUGAUCCUUUCUGAGGCCCCAAAUUCAGUUGCUUUUCCAUGUCAUGAUUUUUUUUCUUUUCUUUUCUUUUCUUUUUUGGCAGCGAACAUUGCAACAGUCAAACAUAUCAUCUGUCAAAAAAGAAGAAAAAAAAAAAGUACAAUACAAUCUCUAUAUUAACUAAGGCCCCAUUUGGGGGAGCUUUUAAAGGGCCAAAAAGCACUUUCUGACCCUCCAAAAGUACUUUUGGAUUAAAAAAAAGAUAUUUAGUAAAAAUUUCGAAAAACUGUUUUAGCUUUUUCAAAAAGUUAAAAACAGCUUUUUGGAAGAAAAUCCAUUAUGGAGCUUUCCGAAAAAGCUGUUUUGAACUGUCGAAAAACUAUUUUUUUAACCAAAAUACUCAUAAUAAAAUAUAACAAUUACAUACUUUGUCCUUUUAUAAACCUAAAAAUCUGCUGAAGCCCUAACAAAAAAAAUCCUAAUCGUGGAUAAGACUCUCUUCCAUGCAAGAAAAGUUAUUUUUGUUUUCUAUUUUUAUGCAUCUUUUAAAUCACAUUUUAGAAAAAAAAUUAAUUUAUUUCUUCGUUCCUUCUAAAAUCCAUCUCUCUUUUUUUCAUCGAUAUCGUGAUCCACACUGAGGUCCUCCUCGAGCGUGGACCGCGAAGAAGAGCAUAUGAACUGU